AGCUGGAACCUUUGUGUUUGCACGUUUCUGGUACACCCAUAAACCUGAUGCACAAAGAUCGUCUGCCCUCAG